UACAGAGGGGUGCAAGCGUUGCUCGGAAUCAUUGGGCGUAAAGGGCAAGUAGGUGGUCUCAUUUGUCUUGUGUGAAAGCCUUGGGCUUAACCCAAGAAGUGCGCAAGAAACGGUGAGACUCGAGUUCUGGAGAGGCGAGUGGAAUUCCCGGUGUAGCGGUGAAAUGCGUAGAGAUCGGGAGGAACACCAGAGGCGAAGGCAGGUCCCUGGGCUGACACUGACGCUCAUGCACGAAAGCGUGGGGAGCAAACAGG
rnacentral:rRNA from 1 species